UCUCCUGAAACGCAAAGUAUAACAUCUACAUAAAAUAUUGAACGAUUAACAUAUGAUUUAUACAUGAAUUAUUAACGUAUGAUAACGUAUGAAUGAAUACUUUGUUUGAGGCAUUGUUCUACGAUUAAAAAAAGAUCAUUUAUGUCAAUACACGUUCGUGCGUCUUUAACGAGGGUGGAAACGCGUACUUUUCAUAACGAUGCGACCGAGUCACAUGCUUCUACAAGAUAUAGAUAGAACUAGGAAGACGUGGUGAAUCAUUGUCGUCGGAGGUUUGGCUGGCGUCCCGCGGUCCAAACUAGCUGAACUCGCCUCGCAACAGGGAGCUUCAGAGAGCUGAUCUCUACCGCGCAAAUAUUUAUGUUUCUAUUCUUAUCGAGACGUAUCGAUGCACGAUGCGCGAAACGCAAUUGCGUUAGAAGUACAUAAAGAAAUAGAUUAUUUAUGUAUUUCGAAAUUUCUCGAUA